rnacentral:rRNA from 1 species
UACGGAGGAUGCGAGCGUUAUCCGGAUUUAUUGGGUUUAAAGGGUGCGUAGGCGGCCUAGUAAGUCAGCGGUGAAAUUUUGCAGCUUAACUGUAACAGUGCCGUUGAUACUGCAUGGCUAGGAUUUGGUUGCUGUGGGUGGAAUGUGUGGUGUAGCGGUGAAAUGCUUAGAUAUCACACAGAAUAUCAAUUGCGAAGGCAGCUCACAAAGCCAAGAUUGACGCUGAGGCACGAAAGUGUGGGGAGUCAAACA